AAAGAUUGAGAUCCUUUAAAGCAAACUCAAUGUAAGUGUGGUGACUUCUGCUCUCCAGGCUUCAUGUGGGAGUCAUUGAAACAAAAAGAAGGAAGUUUCCUGCUCUGCUGCUCUGAGAACAAUGGUCCAUGUAUAUGGAAGACACUGCACUACCUCUGUUGAACAUAGAGAAUAAGCCCAUUUUCUAGAAGGAUUUCAGAAUGGGCAAACUGCCCACGUGUUCUUUUCACCACAAAGACCUCCUCUCCCUGAGAUGUUCUGAAAAUAUAAAUACACUUAUUACCAGGAAUCCUCAAGGUAUCACAACUACCAACUGCAGUGAGACCUUCAGAUGUUCCAUCUUACUACUGUAGGAACCAAGGAACUCCAAAAUAAAGAAGCCUCAAAAAGAAAAAUAAAGCAGAUCAUAUCAA